rnacentral:rRNA from 1 species
UACGAAGGGGGCUAGCGUUGCUCGGAAUCACUGGGCGUAAAGCGCACGUAGGCGGAUCGUUAAGUCAGGGGUGAAAUCCUGGAGCUCAACUCCAGAACUGCCUUUGAUACUGGCGAUCUUGAGUUCGGGAGAGGUGAGUGGAACUGCGAGUGUAGAGGUGAAAUUCGUAGAUAUUCGCAAGAACACCAGUGGCGAAGGCGGCUCACUGGCCCGAUACUGACGCUGAGGUGCGAAAGCGUGGGAGCAAACAGG